UCAUUUAGAGGAAGUAAAAGUCGUAACAAGGUCUCCGUUGGUGAACCAGCGGAGGGAUCAUUACC
rnacentral:rRNA from 1 species